AUUUCGACGAACGGUCUGCAACGUCUGUGCGCUUUGUAGUGUAUCGAGGUCCUCUGAUCGAGUCCGCCGACGAAGCCGUCAUCCAAUCAAACCUGACAUCCGGUGCGCAGCGCGCGUGCAGAAUGCCGGAGGCGCCUCUUCUGUUAACUGCUGCGGACCCUCGAAGCGCCAGGAAGCUCGCCUGACGUCUGCCGCCCAGCCGCCUGACAGACGUGGCCGCGUGCAGUGGGGCGUGUCUCGACUCCUGCGCGUCGCGGGCGGGAAACUCAACCCCGACUGCCUUGUCGGCGGGGUAAUGUCGUGCAGGGGCGAGCUGCGUGACUCACCGCGCCUGACCGACAGUCAGUGAGCUGUGCGGUGAGCGCGAAAAGGUCGGACAGUGUAGCCUCGCGGCCCAUCAGUGCGACGCUCAGCCGACGAGGCAGCCCACCUGACCAGACCAUGCCGAUUUCAGACUCGACUCUGAUUUUGCCCCAGUUCACGGCGAAAUCCCCGCACUCAGGCAAGUGGCGCCCAGGCUCCUCGUCCGCACCGGUGACAUCUGGCGGCCAAAUUUUGAGUGACGCCGCAAAGUCAAGAGCGCCUCCGUCGCCGCCGUCAGAACCCGUCUGGACCCCCAAAGUCGUUCAGAGUCCUUCCACCCAGCGGAAAGAGUUCCGGCCGG